CCCGCUGAACUUAAGCAUAUCAAUAAGCGGAGGAAAAGAAACCAACAGGGAUUGCCUCAGUAACGGCGAGUGAAGCGGCAACAGCUCAAAUUUGAAAUCUGGCUUUGGCCCGAGUUGUAAUUUGUAGAAGAUGCUUCGAGUGUGGUUCCGGUCUAAGUUCCUUGGAACAGGACGUCAUAGAGGGUGAGAAUCCCGUAUGUGACUGGGUGCCUUCGCUCAUGUGAAGCUCUUUCGACGAGUCGAGUUGUUUGGGAAUGCAGCUCAAAAUGGGUGGUAAAUUUCAUCUAAAGCUAAAUAUUGGCCAGAGACCGAUAGCGCACAAGUAGAGUGAUCGAAAGAUGAAAAGCACUUUGGAAAGAGAGUUAAACAGUACGUGAAAUUGUUGAAAGGGAAGCGCUUGCAAUCAGACUUGCGCGGCGUCGAUCAACCUGGGUUCUCCCUGGUGCACUCGGCGCUGCUCAGGCCAGCAUCAGUUUCGGCGGUUGGAUAAAGGCCUAGGGAACGUGGGUUACUUCGGUGACUGUUAUAGCCCUAGGUGCAAUGCAGCCUGCUGGGACUGAGGACCGCGCUUCGGCUAGGAUGCUGGCGUAAUGGUUGUAAGCGACCCGUCUUGAAACACGG
rnacentral:rRNA from 1 species